rnacentral:rRNA from 1 species
GACGAACGCUGGCGGCGUGCUUAACACAUGCAAGUCGAACGGAAAGGCCCUGCUGUUGUGGGGUGCUCGAAUGGCGAAAGGAUGAGUAACACGUGAGUAACCUGCCCUUGACUUUGGGAUAACUUCAGGAAACUGGGGCUAAUACCGGAUAGGAGCUCCUGCUGCAUGGUGGGGGUUGGAAAGUUUCGGCGGUUGGGGAUGGACGCGCGGCUUAUCAGCUUGGUGGUGGGGUAGUGGCUUACCAAGGCUUUGACGGGUAGCCGGCCUGGGAGGGUGACCGGCCACAUUGGGACUGAGAUACGGCCCAGACUCCUACGGGAGGCAGCAGGGGGGAAUAAUGCACAAUGGGCGGAAGCCUGAUGCAGCAACGCCGCGUGCGGGAUGACGGCCUUCGGGUUGUAAACCGCUUUCGCCUGUGACGAAGCGUGAGUGACGGUAAUGGGUAAAGAAGCACCGGCUAACUACGUG